rnacentral:rRNA from 1 species
GGCCCAUCAGCUAGUUGGUAGGGUAAAGGCCUACCAAGGCGAAGACGGGUAGGGGGUGUGAGAGCACGGCCCCCCACAAUGGGACUGAGACACGGCCCAUACUCCUACGGGAGGCAGCAGCAGGGAAUAUUGCACAAUGGACGGAAGUCUGAUGCAGCGACGCCGCGUGAGUGAAGAAGGCCUUCGGGUUGUAAAACUCUUUUGAGGGGGAAGAGCGAGGACGGUACCCCUGGAAUAAGCGUCGGCUAACUACGUGCCAGCAGCCGCGGUAAGACGUAGGACGCGAGCGUUAUCCGGAUUUACUGGGCGUAAAGCGUCUGUAGGCGGAUGUGUAAGUUGGGCGUGAAAGCUCCGGGCUUAACCCGGAGAGGCCGUUCAAUACUGCAUAACUUGAGGGUGUCAGAGGGGAGCGGAAUUCCCGGUGUAGCGGUAAAAUGCGCAGAGAUCGGGAGGAACACCAGUGGCGGAGGCGGUUCCCUGGGGCACACCUGACGCUGAGAGACGAAAGCUAGGGGAGCGAACAGGAUUAGAGACCCUGGUAGUCCUAGCCCUAAACGAUGAAUGCUAGGUGUGGGAUCGAAUGGUUCCGUGCCGGAGCGAACGCGAUAAGCAUUCCGCCUGGGGAGUACGGCCGCAAGGUUAAAACUCAAACGAAUUGACGGGGCCCCGCACAAGCAGCGGAGCGUGUGGUUUAAUUCGAUGCUACACGAAGAACCUUACCUGGGUUUGACAUGUAGGUGGUAGUGAAUCGAAAGGUGAACGACCCUUCGGGGAGCCUACACAGGUGCUGCAUGGCUGUCGUCAGCUCGUGCCGUGAGGUGUCGGGUUAAGUCCCGUAACGAGCGCAACCCUUGCUCCUAGUUACAAGUGUCUAGGGGGACUGCCGGCGGAAAGCCGGAGGAAGGUGGGGAUGACGUCAAGUCAGCAUGGCCCUUAUAUCCAGGGCUACACACACGCUACAAUGGUCGGUACAAAGGGCAGCGAAACCGCGAGGCGGAGCGAAUCCGAGAAAAGCCGAUCGUAGUUCGGAUAGCAGGCUGCAACCCGCCUGCUUGAAGCUGGAGUUGCUAGUAACCGCGCGUCAGCCAUAGCGCGGUGAUACGUUCCCGGGGCUUGUACACACCGCCCGUCACGUCAUGGGAGUCGGUAA